ACACAAUGGGUGCACAAGAACAGGAACAUGAGCCAAGUCUUGAUAAGGGAGACAAAACGGUUGCUCGAGAGCUGAAGGAUUAUUUGUUAGAGAUUCAAAGACACAUCGACCCUUCCAUUAGGCGAGGGGAAGAACCUAACACUGCAAUUAAUCACUCAGUAGAUGUCACUCCUCAGCCUACUCGGGUGAAUAGGACUGGAACACGCGGUCAAGACCAUAAUGAAGCAACGGUAAGUGUUAGAGAAUUUUACCUUAAGAUGCUUUCUAAAAGUCUUGUUCUUUAGGUCAUGAAUUUUUGGUUUAAUUGUGAAGCAGCAGGAUAAUGUAAAUGAGAAAGGUUCAGAUAGUCAGGGAACAUGGUCUAGCAGAAUUCGGCCUCGUCUACCAACCCCAGUUCCUCUGAAUGUAUCUCCGUUGAAGAUGGGCGGAUUGGCGAAACCCCAUGUCAGGAGGCCAAAGAAAUUCUGGACGCCAGAAGAAGUGGAAGCUCUGAGGGAAGGAGUAAAAGAGUAUGCAAACACUCUUUGCCUAGCCCCUUACUCUAUUAUCAAUAUUCACUAGUGAUACAUCUAGGGCCUCAUUAAGAUUAUAGCACUGUCAUUUUGUUGUUGUUGUUGUUGUGCAGGUAUGGUAAAUCAUGGAAAGAUAUAAAGAAUGGAAACCCUGCACUAUUCGCGGAGAGGACAGAGGUGAGCAUUUCCUUUCAAAAUUCAUACUCACCAUUUACUUGGACAAGAUAUAUACGAAGUGUGAGUGAUAUCAAUGUUGUAACUUGAUAGGUGGAUUUGAAGGAUAAAUGGAGGAACUUAGUCGGUGGGUAGAGGUAACAUCUUUUGUGAAUCUUGUGCUAUAGGCUUUUAAAAUGCUGUAGAGUUAUUUACUUUUGUGACAUAUCAACUGUGGAGAACAUGGUGGAGAUAGGGCCAUUUCACAUGUUGUGUAGUGAAUGAUAAUCAUGAAUGAGCAGAAAUAUGCAGAAUAUAAUGAUAUGCUUGUGGGAAAAAUUCUGGCUGCGACCUCUGUUGUCAGUCAGUGUCAAACUUAUACGGCUUUUCUUGUUUCGGAUAUAUUCCAUCCUUAUCUUCAAUUCCUACCAUUCUUCUCUCUCUCUCCUUUUCCACGUGUCAACUAACAUCUAAACCAGAACAAAACACUAGUCAAAAUAUGCAUAUAAUCAUUUUGAUCUAUGAUAUAGCCUGUUAACAUUGAGACCCUCCUUAGAUAUUGCCUGUUAACAUUUUAGACCCUCCCUAGAUAAAAAGCUAAGUAAGAUGAUGUGAGCUCUCAUGCACAUACUUAAUUGGUUAAUGCAUAUUUGUUAUGUGUUGUUAGUUUAUUACAGAACCGUGAACUCCUUGAGGGCUGCAGGAACUGGCUGCCAACAAAAAAAAAACAAUUGUUCAGCGGUGAUGUCACUAUCACUCUAUUCUCUACAACUUCUUGUCAUGUUCCCCACUUCUGUUCUGACUUUUCCCCUUUUCUUUGUCAUUUUAUUUUUGUUAACCUCAAUCUAUUUUGGAUUGCUUGUGUUCACCAAACUAAUAAUUGGUUCAAUUGAAAAAUGUGCAGUUUCCUCAAGAAACAAAACUCUUUCCUCUAUAUCGCAUUUCCUAGUAUCCACACUUUCUUAACUCUUAUCCUCUUUGCAAUUGUGUUUGUGGUUCACAAAAUAAACCAGGGCAUCUUUUUUUAUCUUUUGAGCAUAUUUUGCUAUGUUUUUCAAUGUGGUACACGUUUGAUGAUUUUUUUUCAAUGCUGUGGCUUGAGUAUUUUUAUUGGCAAGUAAGUUUUGUCAAACUUUGGAUUUUUUGAAUUACUACAAUGCGGUCAAUAAAAAUAAAUAUAUGGUUUUCUAUAAUAUAUGUGAUGCAAGCAAGGUUAAGGCAAUUGUCUUUAUUCAUUUUAUCCCAACUGGGUGAUUGACGCCAACGACUGUUCAACAUAUUUUCUGCUGACGCUUCUUUAAUGAAGUAGCAAGAAGAAAGUAAAUAGGACGACUUUUGGCCACCAGAAGUAUCUCUGUUUUAAGAACGAAAGUCUGUGUCCUCUUAAACAUUUCUGGGAUCAUCAAUUGGUUUUUGGUCAACCAUGAAUAUGAAUCAAGUUGCAGAGUAUGUCGAAACUGAUCCAACUGGUCGCUAUGGACGUGUAAGUAAGGAGACAGACUCUAUGUUCAUGGAUCAAAACCUUUUUGUAACACUUGGUUUUAUGGUGGCACAGUUUGCAGAAAUUCUUGGAAGGGGAGCGAUGAAGACAGUGUACAAAGCAAUCGAUGAGAAGCUGGGAAUAGAAGUAGCAUGGAGCCAGGUGAAGCUUAAAGAGGUUCUGCGUUCAUCUGUUGAUCUACAGAGGCUUUACUCCGAGGUUCAUCUCCUCAGCACUCUCAACCACAAAUCUAUCAUUCGUUUCUACACUUCCUGGAUUGAUGUUCAUAACCAUACUCUCAACUUCAUCACCGAGUUGUUCACUUCUGGGACCCUCCGACAGUAAAUUGCUUAAACCUCUUCUUCUGACAAGAUUAUUCAGCUUUUUAUAAUGACCCUGUCCCGUUCAUAUGCAGAUACAAAAAUAAGUACUUGCGGAUAGAUAUCCGAGCAAUCAAGUCCUGGGCUCGGCAAAUCUUGGAAGGGCUUGUUUAUCUCCACGGACACGACCCUCCUGUUAUCCAUAGAGACCUCAAGUGUGAUAAUAUCUUUGUUAAUGGCCAUCUUGGACAAGUCAAAAUUGGUGAUCUUGGUCUUGCAAGAAUGCUGCGGGACUGCCAUUCUGCACAUAGUGUCAUCGGUACCUUGUAAAAAUCCUUUGUUCUCACUUCUUCUCCACAUUAUAAGACCUCUUCGUGCUUCUUUUGCGUAGGCACUCCGGAGUUCAUGGCUCCAGAAUUAUAUGAGGAGAACUAUAAUGAGCUCAUUGACGUUUAUUCCUUUGGUAUGUGCUUUUUGGAGAUGAUCACUUCUGAGUUCCCGUAUAGUGAGUGCAACAAUCCGGCGCAAAUUUACAAGAAAGUUGUCGCGGUAUGUCUUUCGAUCUGUGAGCAUAUAAAUGCAGCUAUCAGUUGAACCAGGCAUGAGCCUUCUAAUGUUUUCUUCCAGGGAAAGCUACCAGGAGCCUUUUACAGAGUUGGAGACAUCGAGGCACAGAGGUUCAUCGGGAAAUGCCUCGUGUCUGCCUCAAAGAGAGUAUCAGCAAAAGAACUAUUGCAAGAUCCAUUUCUUGCCUCUGAUGAGUCCUGGAUGGUGUACGCGAGUGGUGCUGGGAAUCCAAAGCCCUUCUUGAACGAGAAUGAAAUGGACACACUGAAGUUGGAAGAUGAUGAGUUAAAGACACAGAUGUCCAUCGCUGGGAAGCUUGGCGCUGAAGAUAACAAAAUCGAUCUGGAAGUACAAAUCGCAUAUGAUAAUGGUAAAAGGGAUUAAUUUGAUGAGCUGGUCAUUUUGUUAUUCGGUCGCAUAAUUGUUUCUUUCUUUCCAGGUCUGGCAAAUAAUGUGUUCUUUCCCUUUGACAUCAUGAAUGAUACUUCCAUUGAUGUUGCAAAGGAGAUGGUAAAAGAACUCGAGAUUAUAGAUUGGGAGCCAGUCGAGAUUGCUAAAAUGAUUGAUGGAGCGAUUUCUUCUUUGGUGCCUGGUUGGAAGUAUGAGGAAGAUGAUGAAACCCCUCAUGAUCAUCAUCGUAAUCGUACCGAUCCUUUCCACUCUUCUUCCUCGCACUCGUCAUCUUCCCAAGCUUCACUCUCUAACUAUAUGGCACGAGGCCUUCAAGAUUGGGGACAAGGUAUGGAAAGUAAUACCAGUCUCAACGUACAGUGUGUGACAGAUGUUUAUAUAAAAGUUUUUGAGAUAAAAAUUAAAACUGCAGAUGAUUUACACGAUGAGACGUAUUCUCAGAGUUCUUCCCAUUCAGGGUCUUACUCCAACCUCAACUACAUAGCUGUUGAUGAGCACAGCUCCCAAUCUCCUGCUAUGAGCAGAACUCACAACUUGACGAGGUUUUGCCCCGAAGAAAGCUCUCAUCUGCAGUCAGGACAAGCCAACGCGUAUGCAGCUUCCAGUUCAAUUAACAGAAGCUUGGCUUCAGACAACCGCACACUUACAAGGAACCGAUCACUUGUAGACGUGCAGAGACAGUUACUGCACCGGUCGCCAGGGGAAGAGGCUAGAAAAAGAAGAUUGUUCAAAACUGUUGGAGACGUAGAAACAGUUGGGUUUCAGUCGCCUUAUGCGGUUUCACGUAAGCCACCAAGCUCAAGACGCUAGCUUCUCCAGUAUUUUAAUUACUGUAAAUUUAUUCAUGUAAUAUAUAAGUAUACUGUGAGAAAGAAGUUUGCUGGUUCAAAAAUGUAAAAAGUUCAUUGUGUUUAAUAAAGUUGUGCAAAGGCUGCGUCUGUGUUACAGAGAAAGAGUCCUCAGGUGAAAUGAGUAAAACGUAACCAUCUAUACCAGAACAAAACAGUAGUCAAAUAUGCAUAACAUAACCAUUUUGAUCUAUGAUAUAGCCUGUAAGAUGAUGAGAGCUCUCAUGCACAUAUAUGUACUGGUUAAUGCCAUAUUUGUUAUGUUAUUAAAUUAUUAGAUAUAUCACAAAAACAUAUAUGUUAUGUGUUAAUGAAAAUUUAGCUGACAUUGAAGGAUAGUUGAAAGUUUCUAGGUACGGUCUUGUCAGUGCAAGUGAUAGAUGAGCUUCAAGGUAGAUGCAUUGUAAUUCAAGCCACAGAGAAACGCCAUGUAGUCUGAUUUGCCUAAUUAAUAGACAAGUCCUGGAUUUAAAGCUGCUAUUGGGUCGACAUGUCCAACUCCAUAAGAAAAUUCGGUCGAUGCAAACCCAGACUCAGUAGCAUUCAUCGGCCAAGCUGCAAAGUGUAGUUAAAAGACUGAAUAAGAGCAGAGUUAUCAGCAUAAAUGUUACUUGCGGGACAAGAAAGUAAAAGAUGGAUAUGACUUUUGUUUACCGGUUGAUACCAUUCAGGAUGAAAUGUCUUGGGGUAAGCAGCCACGCCUGCAACGUGUGGACAAGCCAUUGAUGUUUCUGAGGUAACAGAGUAGUUCACACGUCAUUUGUCCCACUUUUGUGAAGAUUGGGAAACCAAAGGUAAACAAGCAGCGAGGAUUUCCACUCUUGGGGCUGUUAUAUCCGGCUGCAAUUCAAUCAACCAUUGUCUCUCAAACCGGGAAACAAAAGGGAACUAACCAAUUGAAAAAUUGUAAUUAGCCAAACUUGUAUGUCAAGGAUCUAAUAAAAGCCCAAAACUACAAAAGCUCAAAAACUUAUUUCUAUAUAUAUAUAACUCAGUCUAGGGUUUUCGUCCUCCAAUAUUUCUAUCGAAAACUUAGCAGUCGCUCUUCCCUUCUCAUCUUAUAUUCUCCAUGGGCGAGAGGCUUUUGAAAUGCUCCACAUCCACCGAUGUAAUCCUUUUCUCCUAAUGACCUUCUUCCUUACUCAGUCUUUUACUCAGACUGAACUUUAAUAUUGUUUCGGAUUUUUUUAUCUAGGUUGAAGCUACCACAGAGCCGUCGCAGAAUGGUAAGAUCUUGAUUGCUAUACUCUCUUUUUCUUUUUUGUUCUUGGUUUCGUUUUAUGCAUUCUAUAAUUGAAGAAAACCGGUAUAUAUUGUCUUGCAAUCUUGAUUAUAUGAAUUAUAAGUCUGAUUAUAGGUUGUUUGAUAUUUGUAUAUAUGUCUUAUUUAGAAGAACACCUGCUUAUAUGGAUUUGUGUUAUUUAUUUUUAUUUCUGAGAAAGCUCCAGAUGAUUUGGAGCAGCAAGUAUUUCCGAAGAAGCAAAAAAAGGUAAUAUUAUCUUAAGCUUUUGUACCUUUUUAUUGAAUUCAGUAGUACUUUUAAGAGCUUUGUAUUUUCUUAUAAACCAGAAAAUAUUAACCUACUAUUGAAAAUGUCUUUGUUUUUGAUCCAAAAUAAAAAAGGUGGAAGAAUAUAAAUGCAUUUUCGAAAAUAAAUCUGCAUAUGGACACAGUCACAGAAGCAUUCUCGUUCAGGGAUUAGAUUGUUCCCUUCCUGUGGCUGAUAUCAGGAGCGCAUUGAGAAAACACUUCGGUUCAUGUGGACAUAUCUUAAGUGUUUUUGUUCCGACAGAGUGUAAAACCGGUUCUCUCAUCGGGUUUGUGACUUGUUCCUCCAAUUUAAUUUGACAACUUGAAGUUAAAUGCAAUCUAAAUUUUUUACUUUUGUUUUUGUUUUCAGGUGCGCUCUCAUUAAAUACUAUAAUCCAAAUGAUGAAAAGAAGGCAUUAGCACUCGAUGGUAGUUUCUUGGGAGGUAGGCAGCUUGGGGUUGUGAAGAAUAAUACUGGAAGCAGUUCUGAUUUCUUUCCUAACUUUAAAGGGUGUGAACGUUGUGUCCUUACUCAAAGGAAGUACCUCCAUGACCAAUUCAUUGCAACUCGUGGUGGUCGUAUGAUGGCCAAGUACGUUUAUUUGUUCUUGAUUAUUGAACCCUAGUUAAAGAAGGUAACUGGUCAUUAUAUAGUUGUUAUUUUUUGCUCCUGAUAUUGCAGGCCACCUAAUUGGAUCCUUGCUAAAUGGGGCCUCGCUUUAACGGAAGAAGUUGAAGCAGAAAAACAGAGCUAAGAAUGGUCGUUUUACUGUUGUUUAUCGACAAGCUACUACUUGUUUAUCUUCUUAUGUUUUAUAAGAAAACUUGUAUUAUGUGGACUCUUGCUGCUAUUUAGUUUCAUAAUUUAUGCCUAAAUCAAAUGUUGAACUUAUAUUAUGAAAUUACAUUUUUAAGUUGAAAAUUCAAUUACUUAUAAUCGACUUAAUGAGAACUUUGACCUAAUUUGCUGAUUGGGCGGUUGCGAUCUAUAGUUGUUUGGUAGGUAUCUGUUAUGUCUUCAUUCCUACCUGCAGGUAGGAUACUUUUGUAUCUACCCAAGUUCUCCAUUGAUUUCUUUUUGCCAAGAAUUGUUGCGCUUCUCCCUCGAGUCAACAAAUGUAAACCACGUUGUUUAUUCUCUUCUUACAUUGGUCGCACUUGUUUGUUAAUGACACGUGUUUGUCACUCUUCCGACAUUCGAACCGUUAAUCAUCUUUGUCUUCCAGGCCCAACUAACUGUCCAUUUUCAGAAUAUAUCUGAAACCGUUCAGUGAUUGAGAGUUUUUCCUUAUCUCCGGCGACAUUGCAUCACCGUAACUCAUGACUUGUUGAAGUGGGAGACUGAUUUUAAGAAGGCCCUUGAGGAACCUGAGCUCUAUCAGCGAAUUCGUGAGACUAAUAUCAGGUACACUGCCAUUUCCUUUCUCACUCAGCUUCUCAAAGAACAGUGGGCAUUACUUGGGAGUUUCUCUCUUGAAUCAGUUUCUCAAAGAAGGUUUCUUUUAGGCAAGGCUGUGAACGUAGAGGGUGAUGUUGUUGAAAACAGAGGGGGCUGGGGGGGACGAGUCGCGUGGUGAAAGGGAGGACGUUAAUGGGAUUGAUAGAGAGAACGCUACUGAUGGUGAUGGAAUGGAAUGUCUGGAGAAUGAUGGGAUUGAUAAUGUGAAUGCAGCAGAGGAGGAGCACACAAUGAGUGCACAAGAACAGGAACAUGAGCAAAGUCUUGAUAAGGGAGACAAAAUGGUUGCUCGAGAGCUGGAGGAUUAUUUGUUAGAGAUUCAAAGACACAUCGACCCUUCCAUUAGGCGAGGGGAAGAACCUAACACUGCAAUUAAUCACUCAGUAGAUGUCACUCCUCAGCCUACUCGGGUGAAUAGGACUGGAACACGCGGUCAAGACCAUAAUGAAGCAAC
rnacentral:lncRNA from 1 species